UAUACUAAAUAUUUUUGUCUGUACGAAGAGCACGUGGGAAUAGCAAGUGUCUUCAAUUUCGUAGAGCAUUGGUAACUGUGAAGUCUAAAAUACGUUUUAUUAUCUACGUUUGCUGUGGACUGUUGGAAGUUUCUGCGUUUCUUCCAUUUGGUUCUGUUUAGCGUAGCAGCAGAUCUUCCCUCACUAGUAAACCAUGGAAGCUUUCAACGAGGGAGUUUUAAUCGGAGGUGCGCACGUGGAAACUACAGAGAAGGGCUGUCCUGUCUGUGGUGCGGAGGAUAGCCGUACCAUAUCGCUUCCAGCAGGAGCACUGCCCAAGUCCUUAGAGUUAAAAAUCAGAUGUCAGAGGAAACGUGAAAUUUAUGGGCAGUUGACGGUGGACUCUCUUGUGCGUAAGUAUAAGGGAAGGCUGUCGAAAGAGGAAUACAGGGCUAAACUACAGGCAAUUAGGCGAGAAGACCUUAUAAAGAUUAAAAAACAAGUCGAUGAAGAAUUGCGAUCAGCCUUGGAAAGAAGGAAGCAACCACUCGCAGCGCGAAUGUUUAGAAUAAGGCCCCAGAAACCUGAACUGCAAAUUGGAGGCUGUAUUUGUCACGAAAUGGAGAGUCUGAAACAAAAAUGGCGGAAGUUAAAAAGCGACGUAGCGUUGGCAAACGAGGAACGUUCCGAAAGCUUAAGGAAGUGUUUUAAAAAAAAGCUUGUGAUUUCAUAAGUGUUUUUGCUUUUAUAAACUGAUCUCAAUUUCAAAGGAGCUGUUGGUUCUUUAGUGAUAAGCAUUUUUAUGCCCUGACUGAUGGUGUUGUGUGAAAUGUCAAAUGUGAGCAUUCUGAAAAAAUACAAUCACUUCUUCUUUAGUGUUUUAAUGCUGUAAUUAUAACAGUAUUAUUCUCUUUGUGUAUUUAUUUGGUCUCCAACUAGCCAUGUGGUUAGCUAAUUGGUAAUAGUUGAAGCUGUUUGGGAAUGUACCACUACAGAGAAUCAGUUUAGUGUAAUGUAAUAGUAAUGCGAAAAGGCUUCCAUCCUAUAUUUUAAUAAUUUUGAUUUAGCAAAGUAUCAAACUUUUUGCCUCUAGGAUGUGUACCGUGUUCAAAAUGCUUGUGGCGCAAAGAUUUGACUUUAAGGCCGAGGUCUACGUUUUUUUGUUGUAAUUUUUUUUAUUUAAUAAUUAGUUUAUGUUCCCGAGAGGAAAUCAGCAGUAUUCCUUGUAUUAGAAAUUUCUUAUUCACAAAACAGGACUUUUAUAGCUGUGGUGUAUUUGUGUAAGACAUUAAAUUCGAUAUAGACAUAUGUUUAAAAAUGGAUCAAGACGAACGUUGGGUACAAGUCGUUGGCAUUAUCUGGUGACGUAAUGCUAAUGUAUGCUGUCACGUCACCUUUUUCGUUAGUUGGUGUAGCAAACGAAUGUGGAGAAAGAGUAGAAAACUAGUUGUAGUGACACAUUGGUCUGUAGCCUAGCAUGAGCUAUGUGUUCGGUUGGAAGGUAACAGUUUGUCUGUUGGUGAAGCCAACGAAAGUGAUAAUUUUAAAAAAUUCAGUGUCUUGAAGCUGAUAUGUGGCGGGUUCUAGGCUAGAAUAGAUGACAGUUAAAGUUGGGGGAGGGGGAAGACCUGCUUGUGCUGGCAGACUGAUCUGUAAUAGGUACCAAUUCGUUUGAAGCAAACUCCAGUAGCCGUUGUAGUCACGAUUGUUGACUACGCAGUUCUGUCACUAGUUUCCUAUGACACUAGUCAAAGCCGAUGAAAGUUUGUGUUAUGUGUAAAUAGAUUCAGCAGAUCGUUUGUGUCUAGUCGUCAUAGUUACUGGGUUGUUCAACAAAGUAUCUGUACACAUUUCCCCAAGGUAGAUAAUUGACGAAUUAUGCAUUGCAUCACUUCAGGUGAACUAUUCUGAAUGAACCACUGUUGACGACUUAAAUAGUAGCGUCAAAGGAGAGUGAAAAAUUAGGGACUGUAGGAAAAGUUCCGUUUAGAUGCAGUUUUUUUUUUAAGUAAGCUGGGCUGAAAUUUUUGUCAGUACAAACUCAUAUUUUAUGCUUUACUAACAUGGUGUUACAUUUAAUGCCAAACAGAAUCAUGGUUUUCUACAAUCGCAUUUCUUCUGUAAAUCAGUAAAAAAAAAAAAGUGUGAUAGCAAUGCAAGAAGCUACUUACAGGUAGGUUUGCAGUAUUCAAACUACUGUGGAACACAGUGGCAUUAUUUAUUUUCAUACUUUGUAUUAAAACACUCUGCUUCAUUAUUAGCAACCUUCUUGGACAGUUUUUCAAAUCAUCGUUUGAAAUUGUGCAGGACGUCUAUGUACAGGCCACUUAAAACAUUGCUACAUAUACGUAUACUGAAUUACCGUACUAAAGAGUGCAGCCUAAUAAAAAAGGGGGCAAUAAAAUUUUUGUAUUUGCUGUGUUUGUGGUAGAUACAUAAAGUAUGAAUGCAAAACACUAUGCUUUUAUGGACUGUUAAGAUAUUAACAAAGUACUUUUUGUGUUUAACAUCAUAUCUUAAGUUAGUAUGUAUGUAGCUUCCCCCACCCUUGGUAAAAUUUUGUUGAAGAUAUACAUUUUUUAAAUAUAUAUAUAUAAUCAGAUUUUUAGGAAUAUGUCAUACUCAUAAUUUAUAUUACCGCAUUGGAUUGUUUAUUAUUGUGUGGACCCUCAAUUGGAGGCUUUCUUGGCGCAUACCAAUGCAAAAAUCUUCUGAGUGAUCUGAAUGGUGGCAUCUUGUCACAGCAUUUGUCAGUUUUGAACCCAUCAUCUUUCCCUGAAGAUGGUGUUCGUGACAAGUUGAUGCAACCAGUCAGCUGAUCACCCAAGAAGUAUGGUACAGAAUGUCACCAAUAAAUGUACCUACUUUGUCAUGCAAAUAUGUAAACCUUUUUGUUACAUCUUGUGGGUUGAAAACUCCACGCUCUCCCUCCCCACCCUCAGAUAAUCAGUAGUAAUCGGUUGUAGGGGCAAAUGUGCAAUCCUCCUUUUUUGUGACUCAAAUGGGUGAUACACCUUUACAACUAUUCCCACAUGUAGUUAAGAUUGAUAAACAUUGCAGAAUAAAUAUCAAGAAUUAUGAAUGUAAAUUAUUAUACCAGAAAAUAAACUUAAGUUGUUAGAAA